GAUGAACGCUAGCGGCAGGCUUAACACAUGCAAGUCGAGGGGCAGCGGGGUAGCAAUACCGCCGGCGACCGGCAAACGGGUGCGGAACACGUACGCAAUCUACCGUUACCUGGGGCAUAGCCCGGAGAAAUCCGGAUUAACUCCCCAUAACAUAGUGGUGUGGCAUCACACUAUUAUUAAAAAUUUAUUGGGUAAUGAUGAGCGUGCGUCCCAUUAGCUAGUUGGUAGGGUAACGGCCUACCAAGGCGACGAUGGGUAGCUGGUGUGAGAGCACGACCGGCAAAACGGGCACGGGGACACGGGCCCGACUCCUACGGGAGGCAGCAGUGAGGAAUAUUGGUCAAUGGACGCAAGUCUGAACCAGCCAUGCCGCGUGAAGGAUGAAGGCCUUCUGGGUUGUAAACUUCUUUUAUUGGGGAAGAAAAUUACGGUUUCUACUGUAACCGACGGUACCCAAGGAAUCAGCACCGGCUAACUCCGUGCCAGCCGCCGCCGUAACAC
rnacentral:rRNA from 1 species